GAAUGGAGAAGACAAUGAGGUGAAGAGAGGUGAAGAGGAGAGGAAUGGAGAAGACAAUGAGGUGAAGAGAGGUGAAGAGGAGAGGAAUGGAGAAGACAAUGAGGUGAAGAGAGGUGAAGAGAGGUGAAGAGAGGAAUGGAGAAGACAAUGAGGUGAAGAGAGGUGAAGAGAGGUGAAGAGGAGAGGAAUGGAAAGGAAUGCGUGACAACAAACAACAAAUAUAUAAAGAUAACUCUAUUCCAUUACUCAACCAUAUGAAAACAGAUCUAAUUACAUUGAAUAAUCUUCCCAUAAAUUGUACAGGUAGAAUGAACCUCUUUACAAUGGCAUGG